UGCCUACAACAUAACAUUAAUGCACUGGAUCCCAUUAGAACUUUGUAGUUAAGCGCGCUCGGGCUAGAGUUGUACUAGGAUGGGUGACUGCCCGAGAAGUCCUAGUAUUUUAGAUGC
rnacentral:rRNA from 1 species